ACGGGAGGCAGCAGUGGGGAAUAUUGGGCAAUGGGGGAAACCCUGACCCAGCAACGCCGCGUGGAGGAAGAAGGUUUUCGGAUCGUAAACUCCUGUCCUGAAAGACGAGAAGAAGACGGUAUUUCAGGAGGAAGCCCCGGCUAACUACGUGCCAGCAGCCGCGGUAAUACGUAGGGGGCAAGCGUUGUCCGGAAUGACUGGGCGUAAAGGGCGUGUAGGCGGCCGAUUAAGUCUGAAGUGAAAGUCCUGCUUUCAAGGUGGGAAUUGCUUUGGAGACUGGUUGGCUUGAGUGCGGAAGAGGUAAGUGGAAUUCCCAGUGUAGCGGUGAAAUGCGUAGAGAUUGGGAGGAACACCAGUGGCGAAGGCGACUUACUGGGCCGUAACUGACGCUGAGGCGCGAAAGCGUGGGUAGCAAACAGGAUUAGAUACCCUGGUA
rnacentral:rRNA from 1 species